GACGAACGCUGGCGGCGUGCUUAACACAUGCAAGUCGAACGGAAAGGCCCUGCUUUUGUGGGGUGCUCGAGUGGCGAACGGGUGAGUAACACGUGAGUAACCUGCCCUUGACUUUGGGAUAACUUCAGGAAACUGGGGCUAAUACCGGAUAGGAGCUCCUGCUGCAUGGUGGGGGUUGGAAAGUUUCGGCGGUUGGGGAUGGACUCGCGGCUUAUCAGCUUGUUGGUGGGGUAGUGGCUUACCAAGGCUUUGACGGGUAGCCGGCCUGAGAGGGUGACCGGCCACAUUGGGACUGAGAUACGGCCCAGACUCCUACGGGAGGCAGCAGUGGGGAAUAUUGCACAAUGGGCGGAAGCCUGAUGCAGCAACGCUGCGUGCGGGAUGACGGCCUUCGGGUUGUAAACCGCUUUCGCCUGUGACGAGGCGUGAGUGACGGUAAUGGGUAAAGAAGCACCGGCUAACUACGUG
rnacentral:rRNA from 1 species